CACUCCUACGGGAGGCAGCAGUGGGGAAUUUUGGACAAUGGGCGAAAGCCUGAUCCAGCAAUGCCGCGUGAGUGAAGAAGGCCUUCGGGUUGUAAAGCUCUUUUGUCAGGGAAGAAACGGUGAGAGCUAAUAUCUUUUGCUAAUGACGGUACCUGAAGAAUAAGCACCGGCUAACUACGUGCCAGCAGCCGCGGUAAUACGUAGGGUGCAAGCGUUAAUCGGAAUUACUGGGCGUAAAGCGUGCGCAGGCGGUUUUGUAAGUCUGAUGUGAAAUCCCCGGGCUCAACCUGGGAAUUGCAUUGGAGACUGCAAGGCUAGAAUCUGGCAGAGGGGGGUAGAAUUCCACGUGUAGCAGUGAAAUGCGUAGAUAUGUGGAGGAACACCGAUGGCGAAGGCAGCCCCCUGGGUCAAGAUUGACGCUCAUGCACGAAAGCGUGGGGAGCAAACAGGAUUAGAAACCCGGGUAGUCCCA
rnacentral:rRNA from 1 species